AGGGUUUGAUCAUGGCUCAGAACGUACGCUGGCGGCACGCCUAACACAUGCAAGUCGAACGAAGUAGCAAUACUUAGUGGCAGACGGGUGAGUAACAUGUAGGUAUCUGCCCUUUGGCCUGGAAUAACACGAGGAAACUUGUGCUAAUACCGGAUAAGUCUUUACGGAGAAAGCUUUAUGCACCAUUGGAUGAGCCUGCACUUGAUUAGUUUGUUGGUGGGGUAAUGGCCUACCAAGACUAUGAUCAAUAGCUGAUUUGAGAGGAUGAUCAGCCACAUUGGGACUGAGACACGGCCCAAACUCCUACGGGAGGCAGCAGUGGGGAAUCUUGCACAAUGGAGGAAACUCUGAUGCAGCGAUGCCGCGUGAGUGAAGAAGGCCCUUGGGUUGUAAAGCUCUUUCGUCGGGGAAGAAAAUGACUUUACCCGAAUAAGAAGGUCCGGCUAACUUCGUGCCAGCAGCCGCGGUAAUACGAAGGGACCUAGCGUAGUUCGGAAUUACUGGGCUUAAAGAGUUCGUAGGUGGUUGAAAAAGUUGGUGGUGAAAUCCCAGAGCUUAACUCUGGAACUGCCAUCAAAACUUUUCAGCUAGAGUAUGAUAGAGGAAAGCAGAAUUUCUAGUGUAGAGGUGAAAUUCGUAGAUAUUAGAAAGAAUACCAAUUGCGAAGGCAGCUUUCUGGAUCAUUACUGACACUGAGGAACGAAAGCAUGGGUAGCGAAGAGGAUUAGAUACCCUCGUAGUCCAUGCCGUAAACGAUGUGUGUUAGACGUUGGAAAUUUAUUUUCAGUGUCGCAGCGAAAGCGAUAAACACACCGCCUGGGGAGUACGACCGCAAGGUUAAAACUCAAAUGAAUUGACGGGGACCCGCACAAGUAGUGGAGCAUGUGGUUUAAUUCGAAGAUACGCGCAGAACCUUACCAACACUUGACAUGUUCGUCGCGACUUUAAGAGAUUAAAGUUUUCGGUUCGGCCGGACGAAACACAGGUGCUGCAUGGCUGUCGUCAGCUCGUGUCGUGAGAUGUUGGGUUAAGUCCCGCAACGAGCGCAACCCUCACUUUUAGUUGCCAUCAUUAAGUUGGGCACUCUGAAAGAACUGCCAGUGAUAAGCUGGAGGAAGGUGGGGAUGACGUCAAGUCCUCAUGGCCCUCACGUGUUGGGCUACACACGUGCUACAAUGGCAUCUACAACAGGAAGCAAGACGGCGACGUUAAGCAAAUCCUUAAAAGAUGCCUCAGUUCGGAUUGCACUCUGCAACUCGAGUGCAUGAAGCUGGAAUUACUAGUAAUCGUGGAUCAGCGUGCCACGGUGAAUGCGUUCCCGGGUCUUGUACACACCGCCCGUCACACCAUGGGAGUUGGUUCUACCUUAAGGCAAGGUUUAAAACCCUUGACCACGGUAUAGUCAGCGACUGGGGUGAAGUCGUAACAAGGUAGCC
rnacentral:rRNA from 1 species